rnacentral:lncRNA from 1 species
AUGGAGGAGCCUCUGAAGGCUCUUUUUGGGGUAACGGAAGAGAGCCUUCUGAUAUCCCUGGUUGAGGGUCACUCCAACCCCACCUCCUCCAGCUCCUCCGAGUUGAGCUGUGCUAUCGUGGGGGAGGUGGUACACCAGCUUAACUCUGGCCUCUCAGUGGCCAUUCAGGCCAGCCCGGGGAGUUGCCCCCCUAUGGACAGUCAGGACAUAGCAGCAGGCAAGGAGGUCAUUCGGGUAGCCUCGGUUCAGAUCCUGGCCGAGCUACAGAGCCAAACAUCUGAGCCAGAGUGGGUAGGGUUUAUCGAGCCCCUCAUGGACCCUGUGACCGAUGAUGUGCUGGAGGCCAUUGUCGGCACAAUGGACAAAAUGGCACAGGACUUCAACAUCCUAUUGGAUCUGGCCAAGAAGAUGACAAUCUUGGGGUCUAAAUUUCUGACCAAUCUUCAAUGUGACCUAGAUGUUGAGUGUCCAUCUGGGAAGGAAGGGACCACUCACUUUCUCAAAGAGACUGGAUCCUCUACCAGUGUGGUGGCCAGAAAGAUUCAGACCCUCUCUAGCCCCGACUUUCAGUCUAAAGCCCUGAAGGCGGUGAGCACCAUCCUUACAAGGAAAGUCAGCAGCUCUUCUGGCAUGGCUCCUUCCUCUAGGCCUUCUAGUGCUGCUCCUAGCCUUACUGAAGCCCCGCUGAAUACCAGCUGCACAGCCCUGACAUCUGUAACCUCCACUGCCACAGUGAUUGUUAAGGCAUUUGUGGGAGGCAUGGAGACGAUAGCAUCAUUUGAAGACACAUGUGAAGCAGUUGAUUGGCCAGUUCCUGUAAAUGACCACAAAACAGGGUCUUCACAGAAGAUAACCUUCUCUCUAGCCGGCACACUCUAUGGCCGUAUACGAGCAAAGCUGAGGGACCUUUUAACUCUAGCCGCUCGAGAAGAAGGUGUGUCAAAGGAUGCUUCUCUUCGGGAGUCUUCAGACACCCUGGAAAAGGCAACUGUUUCAACUGUUGAGGUCCAGUUACCCAGCACCGAACACAGUAGAGUUCCCAGAGAGAGCCAACCAAUACCAGCUCUCUGUCUCUCCAAUCUGGAUACCAGUACUCAAGAAGUUCUUAGCAGUGUUUUUUCCAUCUACAAGUCAGAGUUAUCAAAAGUGGAGAGUAAAUCCUUAGCCGUUGUCAGUUCAUCUGAUGAGUCCCUAGAGGCUUGUUGGUUUGUUGAUGGUGUCCUAUCAAAGCUUGAUGACUAUACUAUUUCCCAGUCACCCUCACCCAAUGAAGGCUUGAGCGUGAGUACUCAAUAUUCUCAACUGAGCUCAGAAGAGAGUGUCAGAAUCACAGAGUCCUCAACUAGUCUGAUUCAGAGCAUUAAGAAGCUCUCUAGCAAUGACUUUCAGACUCAGGCAGAAGAGGCAGUGAGUAAAGUGCUGAUGAGAUCCAGUCAUUCCUUUAUCACACAGAUCAGCCAUACUGGUCUUCAGAAAAGUCUGCAGGCUGGCUUAUCAUCUAGCUCACCAUCAGAGAUCCAUGUCCUUUCAGAAUCCAUGUCCUCCAUGUCCUCUGAGAAUACAGCCUCUGGAUUAGUGGAAACCUUUGUCAAAGGAAUGGCGACUAUUUUCCAGAAAAAUGAGUCCACUGACACUGUGCUACUGGAAAGAAGUGGGAGAGUUUCACAGUGCUCCCACGGGGGCUCCCAACUGGAUGAUACUGAAUUGAGUGUUAAAAUAUCAGAGGAGAAGCUUUGGUCAACAGCUAAGAACAUCUGCGUCAGUAUGAAGAACACACUUAAGGAUUUCUUCACAGGGCUGAAGCCAUCCGGAUCCGAAAGGACAGAAAUGGCUUCUUCCAAAGAGACCCUUGGGGAAAUCCUGGUUGCUAUCCAGAGUGAAAUCUCAAACUUCGGGCGAAUGAAGGAUUCCAGGGAGCUCCUUCAGAUCAAUGAUAUGGUAGGAACUAUGCUGAAGGAGAUUGAGAAAAGUGAGGAUGACAGUGAACAAGUCUGCCAAGACAUCCCUCGAACCUGUUCAUCUUUAUCCACUUCUUUAAAUGGUCGUAGUUCCUUGUCCAGCUCUUCAAAGGGUCCUAGGUCAGAGUGUGAGUUAGAGAUCAACCUCCCUGGCACUCCCAUCCCUGACGAAGUGCCUUUUGAUCUGACCUGCCCCAUCGUCAGGAGCUCCUGCAUCGACACCAGGGACUCUAAAAUGCCAGAGAUUUCUACAAGUGACCUAAAGACAAAGAUGAUGGCACACACAGAUGAACCCCUGCAUCGUAACAGUCCAAUGACUGACAGCAGCCGACCACCGAGUGCUAAAGUCUCUUUUCGAUCCUCCACUCUGUCUUUCACCAGCAAGGGAACCUUUUUGGUACCAAAGGGAGAGGGGAUUGACAUUGAAGAGAAGGAGGUGUGUAUCCCUAGCAGCUCUGGCCAUCUGAGGGAGCUCUUAAUCAUCCCGGACAUCAGCAGUGCCACUGCAUUCCCACUGCAGUACUUGAUGGAUUCCAGCAAAGAUGAUGGCAUCUGUUUUGUCACCAUACUGGUGAUAAGGUUGCUAUCGGAGAUCAGACCCUCAGCCCUAGAUGGACCCUCCCAACAGGCAGCAGAUCUGACAGAAACAUCUCAGCAACUCAUCAGACAAGUCCUGUCUGAGUUCUGUGCUGCAUCCAGAUUAUCCAGGACACAGGCAUAUUCCCAGAACCUGAACAUCCAAAGGGUGUUCAGAGGUGUACAUAAAAACCUCAUGGAGGAGUUUGGCUCUUAUAACACCCUGCAAGCAGCUAUUUCCUCCCAGGACCCUGCAUUUGACAGAGUCCUGGUAAAGUCCUUGACCCAGCAGCUGGUACAGGGAUGCAAGGAGGCGUCAAGACCAAACCCAUCAGACCAGGCUGAGACAGAGAGGGGGGCUGAGCAGAAAGCAAGAAGGAGCUUCCUUUGCUUUUCAAUGACCAAACUCAGGAUCAACUUCAAGCGUUCCAAGAGAGGAAACAAAAAUGACUGCCAUUCAGUCCAGGACCAGACUGAGAUUCCCUCUACUGAUGGACAUUGCAUAGGUAAGGAUGUUUUAGAGCUCUGCUAUAGCUUGUAGUUUUGUUUAGGUGUGUGUUAGAAACAUAGGAAUGCCUACCAAACUCAUAGCACUGUUAUUUUUCAACGUUACUAUACUGCAUCUCUCUCUUUCUCUCUCUCUCUCUCUUACCCCAUCCAUUUCUCUUGUGUUUCUAGCUCCAGUUGGAGCGGUUUCUCCCUCCAUAUCUCAGCGUGUCAAAAAACGAUCCUUGAUUGUCAGGGUCUUUUCAGCAAUGAUGAAGCCAUUCAGGCGCUUCACCAAGAAGAACCUGUAACCUGUUACGCUGCAUGAAGAACUACUUAUUCACCAGUAUCUUUACCUGCACAUGACCAGCUGAUCAUUUAUCACUCCAGUGUUAAUCUGCUAAGUUGUAAUUAUUCGCCUACCUCCUCAUGCCUUUUGCACACAAUGUAGAUAGACUCUUUUUUUCUUUUUUUUCUACUGUGUUAUUGACUUGUUUAUUGUUUACUCCAUGUGUAACUCUGUGUUGUUGUCUGUUCACACUGCUAUGCUUUAUCUUGGCCAGGUCGCAGUUGUAAAUGAGAACUUGUUCUCAACUAGCCUACCUGGUUAAAUAAAGGUGAAAUAAAAAUAAAAAUCAGGCACUUUUUUUCAGAAAACCGAUGGCAGCGUCUAUCAUUGCUCUUCUACCAUCUAUCCCAUGUCUGCACCUCCCUCUUCCAUCAAAAACAAAUUACCUGGUUAAAGUUAGUUAGGCUAGGGGUUAGGGUUAAGGUUAGAGUUAAGUUUAGGAGUUAGGUUAAAGGGUUAAGGUUAGAGUUAGGGGAAGGGUUAGCUAUAAGGGUUAGGGGAAGGGUUAGCUAACAUGCUAAGUAGUUACAAAGUAGCUAAAAAGUGGUAAGGAGUUGAAAGUUUGCUAAUUAGCUAAAGUUGUCUGUGAUGAGAUUCAAAAUCAUAACCUUUGGAUCGUUAGACAUCCGUGUUAUACUGUAUGCCCACCCCUCCACCCUGACCAACCACCCUACUUUCGUUUUUGCCUUAAAUAACCAUUUGUCUUAUAUAACCAUACCAAACAUAACAUAUUAUACUAAUUUGAGUGUCCCGGAUUUACAUUUACUAUGUUAUGUCUAGUCUAUGAGAUCAGGCUGAUCACAGGCAUGAACAGAGUAACAGGUCAUUGUAGUUAUGAGUGUGAGUGUUAGAGAGGGAUUUGAGGAUUUCACUGUGGGUCAAUGCAGAGCUAAGCAUGAAGGAUUUUUGUGGCAUGACAUAAAACCAGAAACCACAGCACAGAGGAAACCUCUGAGGGUCAUAAUGGCUGGUCCCAUUAAACCUGGGGGAGGAGUUUGAGCAGACCUCAGAGGACAGGAGCUGACAUGGUGUUAAGGACAGUAGAUGAAUCACCGCACUUUUUUGCUCUUGUUCCCUGUGUGUGUGUGUGUGUGUGUGUGUGUGUGUGUGUGUGUGUGUGUGUGUGUGUGUGUGUGUGUGUGUGUGUGUGUGUGUGUGUGUGUGUGUGUGUGUGUGUGUGUGUGUGUGUGUGUGUGUGUGUCUUGACAGAGGUAGAAAGUGAUGAAAUACAGAAUUGUGCGUUCGUUUGUUGUAGCUUUUUAUUGUUGUAUUAGAUCAUUUUCAUCCCUAACUUUUUAAGAAUGAGGCAAGAUGAAGUCAAAUUUCUCAAACAAGAAACAUGGUUGACUGUUUCCCUUCAGUCGAUUUCUCAUUCUCUUGUAAAAUAGCAAUGAUGCAAGCGCUCUGAUCUAGAAGCCAGUGAAAGCGAGAGGUUUUACAGCUAGUUUGUUCAGCUCAGGAAGGCCCCACGGCAGCACUUUGGAGUGUAGCAUUGUGUUUUGGUAUCCUCAUCUCCUUUGACAGAGUCUCCCGCAUAACGACGUAGCAGAUAAAGCAGUACUGGGUAGAGCUGGUGGGGCUUUCAGAGUCAGUUUGCUCUUUUACCGUUGUAUGGAUGUCUCUCUUUGCCGAAGAAAAGCCUUGCCAUUGAGAACCUUAUUCCAGUCAGAGAGAUAUUAUCAAUAUUUGUGUUGACACAUACCCUACUGCUUCAGUCAGGAUAGCAUCGCGGCUGGGGAUUUGUUGUCAUCUGUCUGAGAUGGAGAUACUGGUUGAGCAGAAUACAUUUAGAGGUACAUUGGGAAAGAAAAUCCUGCAUGUAUGAAAAAGCCCACCCUGUGGGUGUCACAACUUCUGCGGAAGUCGAAGCCUCUCCUUGUUCGGGCGGUGCUCGGCGGUUGACGUCACCGGUCUUCUAGCCAUCAUUGAUCCAUUUUUCAUUUUCCAUUGGAUUUAUCUUGUCUUACUACACACCUGGUUUCAAUCCCAUUCAUUACCUGUUGUGUAUUUAACCGUCUGUUUUCCCUCAUGUCUUUGUCAGAGAUUGUUUUAUGUUCAGUAUUCGUGUUUUGUAUUUGGUGCGCGACGGGUCCUCGUACCCACUUUGUUUCAUUGUAUUUCAUGGUUUUGGAGUUAUGUGUUUUAAGUUAUUAAACUACUCCAUUCCACCAAGUUUUAAUUAUCCUGUGCCUGACUUCCCUGCCACCUAUACACACGACUGUGAUAGAAUCUCUGACCAAAAUGAAGUCAGCAGGAGAAGGU